UACGGAGGGGGCUAGCGUUGUCCGAAGUUACUGGGCGUAAAGCGCGCGUAGGCGGGUUGGUAAGUCAGCUGUGAAAGCCCGGAGCUCAACUCCGGAGGGUCGGUGGAUACUGCCAGUCUUGAAGGUGCUAGGGGGAGAUGGAAUUACCGGUGUAGCGGUGAAAUGCGUAGAUAUCGGUAGGAACACCAGUGGCGAAGGCGGUCUCCUGGGGCAUUCUUGACGCUGAGGCGCGAAAGCUGGGGGAGCGAACGGG
rnacentral:rRNA from 1 species